GAGUAACGCGAUGCCAGCAGCGGCAGGAAUACGGAGGGGGCAAGCGGUGUGCGGAAUUACUUGUGGUAGAGGGGGUGUAGGCGGCGUCGUAAGUCAGACGUGAAAUCCCCAAGUCUAACUUGGGAACUGCGGCUGAGACUGGGUGGCUUGAGUUCGGGAGAGUAAUGUGUAAUUCCAGGUGUAGCGGUGAAAUGCGUAGAUAUCUGGAGGAACACCGGUGGCGAAGGCGGCAUUCUGGACCGAAACUGACGCUGAUGCGCGAAAGCCAGGGGAGCAAACGGGAUUAGAUACCCGGGUAUC
rnacentral:rRNA from 1 species